GUUUCUGUGGUGUAAUAGUUAUCAUGUUUGCCUCACAUGCGAAAAGUCCCUGGUUCGAAACCGGGCAGAAACA